GAUGAACGCUGGCGGCAGGCCUAACACAUGCAAGCCGAGUGGUAGAGAUUCUUCGGAAUCUUGAGAGCGGCGUACGGGUGCGGAACACGUGUGCAACUUACCUUUAUCUGGAGGAUAGCCUUUCGAAAGGAAGAUUAAUACUCCAUAAUAUAUUGACUGGCAUCAGUUGAUAUUGAAAGCUCCGGCGGAUAAAGAUGGGCACGCGCAAGAUUAGCUAGUUGGUGAGGUAACGGCUCACCAAGGCGAUGAUCUUUAGGGGGCCUGAGAGGGUGAUCCCCCACACUGGUACUGAGACACGGACCAGACUCCUACGGGAGGCAGCAGUGAGGAAUAUUGGUCAUUGGGUGCAAGCCUGAACCAGCCAUCCCGCGUGAAGGACGACGGCCCUAUGGGUUGUAAACUUCUUUUGUAUAGGGAUAAACCUACUCUCGUGAGAGUAGCUGAAGGUACUAUACGAAUAAGCACCGGCUAACUCCGUGCCAGCCGCCGCCGUAACAC
rnacentral:rRNA from 1 species